UACGGAGGGGGCUAGCGUUGUUCGGAAUUACUGGGCGUAAAGGGCGCGUAGGCGGCCUGCUAAGUCGGAUGUGAAAUCCCUCGGCUCAACCGAGGAACUGCAUCCGAUACUGGCGGGCUUGAAUCCGGGAGAGGGAUGUGGAAUUCCAGGUGUAGCGGUGAAAUGCGUAGAUAUCUGGAGGAACACCGGGUGGCGAAGGCGGCAUCCUGGACCGGUAUUGACGCUGAGGCGCGAAAGCUAGGGGAGCAAACGGG
rnacentral:rRNA from 1 species